rnacentral:rRNA from 1 species
AACGCACCUUGCGCUCCCUGGUAUUCCGGGGAGCAUGCCUGUUUGAGUGUCGUGAAAUCAUCAUGGUCAUGAUCUUUAAUUAAUCAUGGCUUGGUUUUGGAGGUUAUGUUGGCUUUUUAUUAAGUUGACUCCUCUUAAAUACAUUGGCAAAGGCGUAUGCAUAAUAACGGCUUUCGAUGUGAUAAUGAUCAUCGUAGCUGGAAUGCUUCACAAGUCUAUGCCCAACCUGCUUUCCAUUCAUUUGGAAAACACUUUGACCAUUUUGACCUCAAAUCAGGUAGGACUACCCGCUGAACUUAA